CAGUUCGGUCCCUAUCCGUCGCAGGCGUAGGAAAUUUGAGAAGACCUGUCCUUAGUACGAGAGGACCGGGAAGGACGUACCUCUGGUGUACCAGUUGUUCUGCCAAGGGCAUGGCUGGGUAGCUAUGUACGGAAUGGAUAAGCGCUGAAAGCAUCAAAGCGCGAAGCCAACUUCAAGAUAAGAGUUACCACCGCAAGGGUAAGACCACAGAACGCCAAACUGGUUGAUAGGUCGAAGGUGUAGGGUCGGCAACGUAUUUAGCUUAUCGCUAAUCAUAGGUCGAGGACUGUACCAAC
rnacentral:rRNA from 1 species